rnacentral:rRNA from 1 species
UACGGAGGGGGCUAGCGUUGUUCGGAAUUACUGGGCGUAAAGCGCACGUAGGCGGCUUUGUAAGUUAGAGGUGAAAGCCCGGGGCUCAACUCCGGAAUUGCCUUUAAGACUGCAUCGCUCGAAUUGUGGAGAGGUAAGUGGAAUUCCGAGUGUAGAGGUGAAAUUCGUAGAUAUUCGGAAGAACACCAGUGGCGAAGGCGACUUACUGGACACAUAUUGACGCUGAGGUGCGAAGGCGUGGGGAGCAAACAGG